GAAACGACUGCUAAUACCGCAUAAGCCCACGGCUCGGCAUCGAGCAGAGGGAAAAGGAGUGAUCCGCUUUGAGAUGGCCUCGCGUCCGAUUAGCUAGUUGGUGAGGUAACGGCCCACCAAGGCGACGAUCGGUAGCCGGACUGAGAGGUUGAACGGCCACAUUGGGACUGAGACACGGCCCAGACUCCUACGGGAGGCAGCAGUGGGGAAUAUUGCACAAUGGGGGAAACCCUGAUGCAGCGACGCCGCGUGGAGGAAGAAGGUCUUCGGAUUGUAAACUCCUGUUGUUGAGGAAGAUAAUGACGGUACUCAACAAGGAAGUGACGGCUAACUACGUGCCAGCAGCCGCGGUAAAACGUAGGUCACAAGCGUUGUCCGGAAUUACUGGGUGUAAAGGGAGCGCAGGCGGGAGAACAAGUUGGAAGUGAAAUCCAUGGGCUCAACCCAUGAACUGCUUUCAAAACUGUUUUUCUUGAGUAGUGCAGAGGUAGGCGGAAUUCCCGGUGUAGCGGUGGAAUGCGUAGAUAUCGGGAGGAACACCAGUGGCGAAGGCGGCCUACUGGGCACCAACUGACGCUGAGGCUCGAAAGUGUGGGUAGCAAACAGGAUUAGAUACCCUGGUAGUCCACACCGCAAACGAUGAUUGCUAGGUGUUGGAGGAUUGACCCCUUCAGUGCC
rnacentral:rRNA from 1 species